rnacentral:rRNA from 1 species
GGCGGACGGGUGAGUAACGCGUGAGAAUCUGGCUCCAGGUCGGGGAUAACAGUUGGAAACGACUGCUAAUACCGGAUGUGCCGAGAGGUGAAAGAUUUAUUGCCUGGAGAUGAGCUCGCGUCUGAUUAGCUAGUUGGUGGUGUAAGGGACCACCAAGGCGUCGAUCAGUAGCUGGUCUGAGAGGAUGAUCAGCCACACUGGGACUGAGACACGGCCCAGACUCCUACGGGAGGCAGCAGUGGGGAAUUUUCCGCAAUGGGCGAAAGCCUGACGGAGCAAUACCGCGUGAGGGAGGAAGGCUCUUGGGUCGUAAACCUCUUUUCUCAAGGAAGAAGAAAGUGACGGUACUUGAGGAAUAAGCAUCGGCUAACUCCGUGCCAGCAGCCGCGGUAAUACGGAGGAUGCAAGCGUUAUCCGGAAUGAUUGGGCGUAAAGGGUCUGCAGGUGGAACUGAAAGUCUGCUGUUAAAGAGUUUGGCUUAACCAAAUAAAAGCGGUGGAAACUACAGAACUAGAGUGCGGUAGGGGCAAAAGGAAUUCCUGGUGUAGCGGUGAAAUGCGUAGAUAUCAGGAAGAACACCGGUGGCGAAAGCGUUUUGCUAGACCGUAACUGGACACUGAGGGACGAAAGCUAGGGGAGCGAAUGGGAUUAGAUACCCCAGUAGUCCUAGCCGUAAACGAUGGAUACUAGGC